GGGCGGAUGGUUUAGUGGUAUAAUUUUCCCUUAGCAUUAAGCAACCUCCGAGCUGCUUAACCGCAUGGGAAAGGUCCGGGGUUCGAUUCCCCGUUCGUCCA
rnacentral:tRNA from 1 species